rnacentral:rRNA from 1 species
UAACGUGAGCGUCCUAAGGUAGCGCGAUAAUUUGCUUUUCAAUUGAAGGAUGGUAUGAAAGGGUUAACGAAGAAGGUGCUGUGUCUAAAAAUUCAAUUUAAACUAACUUUAAGGUGAAGAGGCCUUUAUGUAAAAGAAGGACGACAAGACCCUAUGAAGCUUUAUCUUAAUUGGAGCUCUCAGGCUCUUAUACGAUUUUGAUGGGAGAUCAGUAGAAAGAAGUCUUCUACUAUCAUAUUAAUCUUACUAGUAUUUCCUAACUUUAUAUGUGUGGCUAGCUACUCUAGGGAUAACAGCGCAAUUUCUCCCGAAAGAUGGUAUUGGAGGGGAAGAUUGCGACCUCGAUGUUGGCUUUAGAUACCCUAGAGGCGUAGAAGCUUCU